UGCACUUGUUCAGUCCUCAGUGGGCCACAAGC
rnacentral:piRNA from 1 species